rnacentral:lncRNA from 1 species
GAGUAAAAUCCGUGGUAUAUUAACUCCCCCAUAAUUACCCAUUUGCUUGUCCUCAAGCAAAACAAAGAGUAGUCUUUAUGAAAGAGGUUUGAAACUAGCAGACACUCACACAAUUUAAGAACUCACUAUCAUCACCUCUACAAUGUUGCAAGCCACAUCAAAUCAAUUCUAACCUUAGAGGUACUUUAUAUACCAUAUCCUAGCUUAGCAACCAAAUCCAUCUAACCAACAACUUAGCUAAUACUGUCUGACUAACCCCUCUACUGACCUCA